CGGGUUGUAAAGCACUUUCAGUAGGGAGGAAGGUAGUGUAGUUAACACCUGCACUAUUUGACGUUACCUACAGAAGAAGCACCGGCUAACUCCGUGCCAGCAGCCGCGGUAAUACGGGAGGGUGCGAGCGUUAAUCGGAAUUACUGGGCGUAAAGCGCAUGCAGGCGGCCUGUUAAGUCAGAUGUGAAAGACCCGGGGCGUUAACCUCGGAAUUGCAUUUGUAAACUGGCAGGCUAGAGUCUUGUAGAGGGGGGUAGGAAUUUCAGGUGUAGCGGUGAAAUGCGUAGAGAUCUGAAGGAAUACCAGUGGCGAAGGCGGCCCCCUGGACAAAGACUGACGCUCAGAUGCGAAAGCGUGGGGAGCAAACAGGAUUAGAUACCCUGGUAG
rnacentral:rRNA from 1 species